rnacentral:rRNA from 1 species
UACGUAGGUGGCAAGCGUUGUCCGGAUUUACUGGGCGUAAAGAGCGCGCAGGCGGUCGUUCAAGUCGCGUGUGAAAGCCCCCCGGCUCAACUGGGGAGGGUCACGCGAUACUGAUCGACUCGAAGGCAGGAGAGGGAAGUGGAAUUCCCGGUGUAGUGGUGUAAAUGCGUAGAUAUCGGGAGGAACACCAGUGGCGAAGGCGACUUCCUGGCCUGUUCUUGACGCUGAGGCGCGAAAGCUAGGGAGCA